rnacentral:rRNA from 1 species
UAACCUGCCCAAGAGAUCGGGAUAACACCUGGAAACAGAUGCUAAUACCGGAUAACAACAGAUGAUGCCUAUCAACUGUUUAAAAGAUGGUUCUGCUAUCACUCUUGGAUGGACCUGCGGUGCAUUAGCUAGUUGGUAGGGUAACGGCCUACCAAGGCGAUGAUGCAUAGCCGAGUUGAUAGACUGAUCGGCCACAUUGGGACUGAGACACGGCCCAAACUCCUACGGGAGGCAGCAGCG